UACGUAGGUGGCAAGCGUUGUCCGGAAUUAUUGGGCGUAAAGCGCGCGCAGGUGGUUCCUUAAGUCUGAUGUGAAAGCCCACGGCUCAACCGUGGAGGGUCAUUGGAAACUGGGGAACUUGAGUGCAGAAGAGGAAAGUGGAAUUCCGAGUGUAGCGGUGAAAUGCGUAGAGAUUUGGAGGAACACCAGUGGCGAAGGCGACUUUCUGGUCUGUAACUGACACUGAGGCGCGAAAGCGUGGGGAGCAAACAGG
rnacentral:rRNA from 1 species